UCCUCUCCCCGCGCUGCGCCGGUUGCGGGGCUGGGCGGGUGCCCGCCUCGCCGCUCGGCUGGGACGCGGGGCGGGCCGGCUGGCCAAGCGGCGUGGCCGGUGCGGCUGUUUGCGGUGACCGAGAGUCAAGGGCAUUUCCUGGGGCCGCUGACAGCUGCCCCCGCCCGCAACACCUCGCUGGGGGCAGCGGUGCCCGCGGAGCCUGGCGCUGCGGGGAAACCAGCCAGCGCAGCGUCGCCAAGCCCGCCUCGCCGCGAGCUGGGCGCCCACGGGUGGGAUUCAACACACUUAUCCGGCGUGUUUCUGGUGCUUUAGUUAAAGUCCUGCUCGUGGUGAGGAGAACCUCCCCUUGCCUGUUGGCAGCCCGGACUGCUCUAGCCCCACUGGCUGCAGAGAAAACUUUGAAGAUGCGAACCCCAAAUGCUCACAAACCAGGCGGCAGAUGACAAGAACCCCACAUGGAGCAUGAAUGUUUAAAAUAUGAUUUUUAGCAGGUCUCAUAAUUUUGGGAUGUCAGGUUCGUGCUUGGGGGUUGGCAAUACUGGUUAUGAGUAACUGGAAAGGGACUGGAACGGGCACACUCCAGCAACCUGAACUAUAGUGGUUGGUUACAGUGCACUCUAGCUAAUCUAUUGUUUCAGUCCUGGUGCUAGUUUUAGGUUUGCUAUGUCUGCAUCUGAUCAAAAAUAUAUGAAUGUGGUUUGGAAACUGUUAGUUUUGUUGGCAUUCAUUGGGCUUUUAUUAGAUUACAGUUUGCCGUUGGUUCUGAAUUCUAUAUAAAUAAGAUUUUUGGCGCAAAAUCUUUUAUUUUUAAAUGAUUUUUGGUGCCAGUUUUUCUUUGUUAUGAUGUAUAAAAUGUUUGGGUGUUUGUCAUUAUUGUAAUUAUCGUUGCUGCAGAUGUUAUUAUUUUCCUGCUUGUUUUUUACCUUAGCAAUAUCAUAUCUUUAAGAUAAGGCCUUGUCUACACUAUACAGAGGGAUUUUAUGCUACCCUUAGCUGUAUGUUUAUGACACAGUGCCUAUCCAACUGUAGGAACUUUGACACCUACAAGCUGAUUGCUCAUGGCAUGGAUGAGAAGGGACAUGAAAGGGAUGCAGCAGUGCCGUGCUAAGAUCACAGAGCUGAGGCAGGUGUACCAGAAGGCAAGGGAAGCCAACCAUUACUCUGGUGCAAUGCCAAAAACAUGCCGCUUCUACAAGGAGCUGCAUGCCAUUUUCAGCUAUGACCCCACCUCCACUACCAAAAUCCCCAUGGAUACUUCAGGGGGACUGAAGGCAACAGCCAGCAGAGUCAAUCUCAAGGACGAAGUGGUGGACAAUGAGGUCGAGUUGGAGGAGGAUGUGGGACAGGUAACAGGCUCAUCUGGUGGCAUGGCAAGCCAGGAUCUCUUUUUGACUCUGGAGAGGUCUAGCCAGUCCCAACAGUCCAUCUCUGGCAUGCCAGAAGCAGGAGAGGGGAGCUCCAUUAAGUACUCAUUUUGCUUUGAUACUGCAUGGUUACAUGAAGUUAGAGGUAUCCUUUAUUUUGUUACAUGGUGCACGUGAGACACGGGAUCUACAUUAACAACAUUAGGUAGUGUUUGCAUCUGCUUCACAUUCCUCUGUGCAGCUACGCAGUGGGGGCCCAGCAGAAAAGUUUGUUAAUGCACACCAAGAUCUCCCAGGAAUUCUCCAUAGAAAUCUCUAGGAAACUUUCUUGCAAAUAGUCUGCAAUCCUCUGCCAAAGGUUACUUCGCAGAGCUGCUUUCUUUCUUCCCCAUUUUAGGAAACUUUGCCAUGCCAAUCGGCAAUUACUUCUGGAGGAACCAAAGCAGCACACGAGCGAGCAGCAUACGGACCUGAUCUGAAGCCACACACAUGCAGGAGAUGCGUCCUUGGAUCUUCGGUUACCCUCAGUAGUGUGACUUCAGAUGUGCCCUUGAGGGCCAGCUCCUACAUGCUGGUGGAGUGUCUCCGUCAGAUAAGGAGACGAUUGAGGAGGAGUAAGGAGGACAUGUUUCGUGAAUUGCUGCAAUCUUCAGAUCAGGCCAAGAGCGAUCACAGAGCAUGGAGAGAGACCAUAAAUGAGAAACUAGAAAUGGAUAGCCAGGAGAGGAGCCAGACUCAGGAGCAGGUUAAUAAAGCUCAUGCAGGACCAAACAGAGAUGCUGUGGUCCCUGAUUGUGCUGCAGGCAGAACACAUGUGUGCUCAACUCCUCCUACAGCCCAUACAGAACUGCCUUCCUUGCCCCUCUCCCCCAUUCCUCUCAUGUUCCCAGCCCUUCACAAUACUCCUUGCACUCCAUCCCUAGGGACAUUUUCCAUAAUGACAGCUGGACUGACAUGCAGCUGUGAGAUCCUUGUGUCCCUUAUAAGAAAUGUUCAUCUGUGUA